rnacentral:rRNA from 1 species
GGGACACGUGGUAUCCUGUCUGAAUAUGGGGGGACCAUCCUCCAAGGCUAAAUACUCCUGACUGACCGAUAGUGAACCAGUACCGUGAGGGAAAGGCGAAAAGAACCCCGGCGAGGGGAGUGAAAAAGAACCUGAAACCGUGUACGUACAAGCAGUGGGAGCACCUUCGGGUGUGACUGCGUACCUUUUGUAUAAUGGGUCAGCGACUUAUAUUCUGUAGCAAGGUUAACCGUAUAGGGGAGCCGCAGGGAAACCGAGUCUUAACUGGGCGUUAAGUUGCAGGGUAUAGACCCGAAACCCGGUGAUCUAGCCAUGGGCAGGUUGAAGGUUGGGUAACACUAACUGGAGGACCGAACCGACUAAUGUUGAAAAAUUAGCGGAUGACUUGUGGCUGGGGGUGAAAGGCCAAUCAAACCGGGAGAUAGCUGGUUCUCCCCGAAAGCUAUUUAGGUAGCGCCUCGUGAAUUCAUCUUCGGGGGUAGAGCACUGUUUCGGCUAGGGGGUCAUCCCGACUUACCAACC